GACGAACGCUGGCGGCGUGCUUAACACAUGCCAGUCGAACGGAAAGGCCCUGCUUUUGUGGGGUGCUCGAGUGGCGAACGGGUGAGUAACACGUGAGUAACCUGCCCUUGACUUUGGGAUAACUUCAGGAAACUGGGGCUAAUACCGGAUAGGAGCUCCUGCUGCAUGGUGGGGGUUGGAAAGUUUCGGCGGUUGGGGAUGGACUCGCGGCUUAUCAGCUUGUUGGUGGGGUAGUGGCUUACCAAGGCUUUGACGGGUAGCCGGCCUGAGAGGGUGACCGGCCACAUUGGGACUGAGAUACGGCCCAGACGCCUACGGGAGGCAGCAGUGGGGAAUAUUGCACAAUGGGCGGAAGCCUGAUGCAGCAACGCCGCGUGCGGGAUGACGGCCUGCGGGUUGUAAACCGCUUUCGCCUGUGACGAAGCGUGAGUGACGGUAAUGGGUAAAGAAGCACCGGCUAACUACGUG
rnacentral:rRNA from 1 species